rnacentral:lncRNA from 1 species
AAUAAAUAUGUAUGUUGAUUAUACAAUGAGUACGACUAGUAAGUUUCUUGAAUAUUUAUAUAUGUUGCUUUAUUUUCCGAGUACUCAUUUAUUCUUGAAUUUGCAUUCGCAAUCUGUCAAAGUAAAUUCUAUUUGAUAUGAUAUACGCUUCUUUGAUGAUUAUGUGAAUAUCUAUUAUGCCUUGAUAUGGGACUUGUCAGUAACUCCAUGCUAACGGAGAAUAGUUAGCCUGUGUGCACAUAGUAUUCUGUUACCUAGCUGGUGAGAGAGGCAUCAGCCUGUGGUGAUUGAUCAUCCCACAGUGGUCACCGACGGGUGUCAUCUGGUCACCUUCGGGUGUCAUCUGUUCUCUGACAUGUAAUCCACUACGUUAUGAUAAUAUGUUUAGUAAGUAUAUGUAUAUGUAUAUGUAUAUGCAUAUCAAGAUAAAUCAUCUUGCAAAUAAUAUCUGAAAUAUAUGAAAUGUGUAUUAAAUGUUAUUCCCCUCACUGAGUUGGUUGAACUCACCCUCAUUUUUAAUAUUAUUUCAGGUUUUUAGUUUCUGGAACUUUGUUGAGUGUUUCCGCUUCUUCAGUUCUUGUCGGUAUGCCUUGCUUGUUCGCAAGGCUUUCCUUUCAGUUUUGAUUUGAUGUCUUAGACGCUCCACUGUUACCUUGUUUUAAUUACAUUUGGAUUUUGACAAUGUAAUAAGUAUUAUGAAUUAUUAUUUUUGUUUUAAUAAUUAUCUUUCGGUUUCAUCAGUAUUUGAAUAAUAUAAUAUUUCUGAAUAUUAUGAGCCGCUGCGUAUUUUUGAACAAAUUGUUCUUUGAUAUGUCUGUUCUGAGGCUUAGCGUAGGUGAGGUGUCCUUUCGACACCGCUCCUACGUUGCCGGUCACGGAUCCGGGAUUCGGGUCGUGACAAAGGUGGUAUCAGAGCAUGGUUUUAUUAAAACCUCGUAAUCUAUUUUAUUUAUUUAUUAUUCAAAAUUUCGUAAUAAGUGGAGCAUUAGGAUCCGUAUCGUUUUGUUUGUUGUUUUUUUGAAAUUUUGAAUUCUCAUCAAGCAUGUCUUCUUUCUUGUGAUAAAUAUGCAUUUUGUUUUUAGAAAUAUGCCGAGGGCUAAACAUGUAAUUAAUACCGAUGAUCAAGAGGACAUUCCUAUCGCUCAGCUUAGGAAGGAGAGGCGCAAAAAGAGAGUUAGAAACCCUUCGCCUCAACCAAUUGAAGCAGAAGUUCAGGAUGAGGUUGAAUUUGAGGGGGACUAUGGUCUGGAUGUUGGUAAGAACCAGGAGCAGGAAUCCCAUGAUAGGGUGUCUUAUACGAUAGUGCUUUGGAUAAAAUUGGGCAGGCCAUGCAGACCCUGGCUGACCUUUUAACUGAGAAAGAAAAGGAGAAGGAUAAGAAUGCAUCUUCGACUUCCCAUACAGUGCAUGGGGUGAAAGUGCCAUUGGCAGAGUUCCUUAAGUUGGCACCUCCUACCUUUAAGGGUGUCGAUAACUCUGAGGAUCCACAACAGUUUUUAGAUGCAGUGUGGCGCAGGUGUGAGGCCAUGGGGUGCACAGAUCAUCGUGCAGUGACUUUAGCAUCUUUUAGGUUAGAAGGCGAGGUGGCUGUGAACUGGUAUGAGUCUAAAAGAGGUGAAAGGGCAGAUAGUUCUCCACCGAUGGAGUGGAAGGAAUUUUCUGAGAUAUUUUUGGAGCGUUUUCUACCUGAAAGUGUGAGGGAAGCUAAAUCAUACGAGUUUGAGAAGUUGGUUCAGGGUGACUUGACUGUGACAGAGUAUGAAGUGGAAUUCACACGGUUGUCUAGAUUUGCUGGGUAUUUGGUACCGACUGAGGAGAGGAAGAUCAAGAGGUUUAUUCGGGGUCUUAAUAACUACCUAUUCAAAGCUAUUGGGGCUCAUGAGUUUAAGACGUACUCAGCCGUAGUGGAUCGUGCCCGAGCUAUUGAGGCACGAGAGUUAGAGGAUGAUUUAUCAGUGGGUUCAGUCAAGAGGCCCAAGGUGGCAAAUCAGUUCUCUUUUCAUCAGCGGUCUGAUACAGGUCCUAACAGACAGGGAGGCCGGCAGGGCCAAUUAAGUCAAUCAAGGAAUUCAUUGUCGAGGUCUACUGUUGGGGGAACAAUAGACAUAACAUGAGUGGAGCUGGUCCGACUCAGAGUCGAAGUAUGGUUCAGUUAACACCACAAGGUUCAUAUGGGAGGCCUCAAUGUCAGUCUUGUGGGUCUAGGCAUUAUGGCACAGUCUGUUAUAGGCAGACAGGAGCUUGUUUUGGUUGCGGGCAGACUGAUCACUUAUUGAGGGAUUGUACUUAUUGAGGGAUUGUCCGAACAAGAGGUGGUCCAAGCCUAAUGCUUCUGUACCGAUUACAUCUCCUACUCAGACUCAGUCAGCUAGUCAUUCUGUAUUUCAGGGUGGUCGUGGAGCUGGUGAGCGUGGCCAGCGGGGCCGUGGAGUAGGCGGUAGAGGUUUUGCGCCAACAAGUCAGAGACAGGCACGAGUUUUUGCCAUUACUCAGCAGGAUGCCCAGGCAUCCAAUACUGUUGUCUCAGGUACACUUUUGAUAUGUUCCUUCGAGGCUAGAGUUUUAUUUGACACCGGGGCUACUCAUUCUUUUGUGUCAUCAUAUUUUGCUUUAAAGUUUACUAAACAACCCAUUUUGUUAGAGAGUCCUUUAUGUGUGGCUACCCCUUCAGAUGAGGUUAUGUUUGGGGAAUAUGUUUAUGUUGAUUGUGAAGUUGAAGUGCAAGGUAGAAACCUAUUAGGUGAUUUGGUAAUUUUAGAAAUUGUAGGUUUUGAUGUGAUACUAGGUAUGGACUGGUUGUCAAGGCAUCAUGCCUCAGUUGACUGUUGGAAUAAGACAGUGGUUUUCAAGCCUGAUGAGGAGACAGAGUUUGCUUUUCAUGGAGAUGGGUUAUCAUCUCCAUCUAGUAUUCUCUCGGCCAUCACGAGAAGGAUGGUACGAAAGGGUAUGCAAGGGUUUUUGGCUUAUGUGCAUGAUGUGAAUAUGGAGGUCUCGGGGAUAGAACAAGUUUCGAUAGUUAAGGAAUUCAUCGAUGUUUUUCCCGAUGACUUACCUGGACUACCUCCCAAUAGGGAAAUCGAAUUCUGUAUUGAUCUAGAUUCAGGAACAAAACCAAUCUCUAUGGCACCGUACAGGAUGGCGCCAGCAGAAUUAAAAGAGUUGAAGGAGCAGAUUCAAGAUUUGUUAGAUAAGGGAUUUAUUCGUCCGAGUGUGUCUCCAUGGGGGGCACCUGUUUUAUUUGUAAAGAAGAAGGAUGGAUCGAUGAGGAUGUGUAUAGACUACAGGCAGUUGAACAGGGUCACUAUUAAGAAUAGAUACCCACUCCCUCGCAUUGAUGACCUUUUUGAUCAAUUACAAGGAGCUCAAUGUUUCUCAAAGAUUGAUUUACGAUCGGGGUAUCACCAGUUGAGGAUUAGAAAUGAGGAUAUUUCUAAAACUGCCUUUAGGACUCGUUAUGGGCAUUACGAGUUCUUGGUGUUGUCUUUUGGGUUAACAAAUGCACCUGCGGCUUUUAUGGACAUGAUGAACAGGGUUUUUAGACCAUUUAUUGAUAAGUUUGUUAUUGUGUUCAUUGAUGACAUCUUGGUGUAUUCAAAAAGUGAAGAGGAACACGAAGAGCAUUUGAGAUUGGUGCUUCAAACUCUAAGAGAUCAUCAGUUGUAUGGAAAGUUCUCGAAGAGCGAGUUUUGGCUAGAGAGUGUUGGGUUUUUGGGACAUGUGGUGUCCAAGAAUGGAAUAGAGGUUGAUCCACAGAAAGUGGAGGCAGUUAAGCAGUGGCCUAGACCAGUUACGGUAUCUGAGAUUAGAAGUUCCUGGGUUUAGCAGGAUACUACAGGAGAUUCGUGGAGAAUUUUUCCCGAAUUGCUGCUCCGUUGACUAAGUUGACACAGAAAAGUGUCAAGUUUCAAUGGUCAGAAGAAUGUGAGAAGAGCUUCCUAGAGUUGAAGGAAAGGUUAAUUACGGCUCCAAUUUUGACAGUACCUUCAGGGUCUGGUGGUUUUACCGUGUACUGUGAUGCAUCCAGGAUUGGUUUGGGUUGUGUUUUGAUGCAGAAUGGUAAUGUGAUUGCUUAUGCCUCGAGAAAGUUGAAGAAGCAUGAGCAAAAUUACCCCACACAUGAUUUGGAGAUGGCUGCGGUAGUGUUUGCCCUUAAAAUUUGGAGACACUACUUGUAUGGGGAGACAUGUGAGAUAUUUUCAGAUCAUAAGAGUCUUCAAUAUAUUUUUCAGCAGAAGGAUCUGAAUUUGAGACAAAGAAGAUGGAUAGAAUUGUUAAGUGAUUAUGAUUGCACGAUUCAAUAUCACCCGGGCAAGGCAAAUGUUGUUGCUGAUGCUUUAAGUCGAAAAUCUAUGGGUAGUUUGGCUCAUAUUCAGGAGGUGAGGAGACCCUUGAUUAAAGAGUUACACGGAUUGUUAGAUGAGAGAGUCAGUUUUGAGAUUUGUGAAUCGGGAGCAUUGUUGGCUCACUUUCAGGCUAAGUCAGACUUGGUAGACCGGAUUAAAGUAGCUCAGAUGAAGGAUGAACAACUUUGCAAAAUUCGAGAUGACUUGGAGUUAGAGAGAGCUCCGGGUUUUGUUAUCCACGAAGAUGGUGUGUUGAGAUUUGGUUCAAGAUUGUGUGUGCCUGAGGUGGAUGAUUUGAAAAGAGAUGUGAUGAUGGAAGCACACCAAACUGCCUAUACUAUACAUCCUGGUUCUAACAAGAUGUAUAGAGACUUGAAAGAGUGUUAUUGGUGGAAUGGUAUGAAGAGGGACAUUGCUGAGUUUGUAUCUCGAUGCUUGACCUGUCAGAGGGUUAAAGGUGAGCAUCAGAAACCACCAGGGCUUUUGCAGCCAUUGUUGAUUCCUGAAUGGAAAUGGGAGAGGAUCACUAUGGACUUUGUGUCAGGCUUGCCUCGGAGUCAGGAGGGUUAUGAUUCGGUUUGGGUGAUAGUUGAUCGUUUAACCAAGUCAGCUCAUUUCUUGCCAGUAAAGGUGACAUAUGGGUUUGCAAAACUCGCAGAAAUCUAUGUUAACGAGAUUGUAAGGUUGCAUGGUGUGCCCAUCUCAAUUGUGUCUGACAGAGGUCCACAGUUCACUUCUCGGUUUUGGGUGAAAUUUCAGGAAGCUUUGGGGACUAAUGUUCAGUUAAGUACUGCUUUUCAUCCUCAAACAGAUGGACAAUCUGAGAGGACUAUACAAAUUUUGGAGGAUAUGUUAAGAGCUUGUGUGAUUGACUUUGGUGUCGGAUGGAGCAAAUACUUGUCUUUGGUGGAGUUUGCAUAUAAUAAUAGUUAUCAAGCGAGCAUUGAUAUGGCUCCAUAUGAGGCUUUGUAUGGCCGGAAGUGUAGAUCACCUGUUUGUUGGUAUGAGGUUGGAGAGAGGAGAUUAAUGGGUCCUGAGUUAAUACAGAUUACUUCGGAUAAGAUUAAGGUGAUUCGAGAUAAGCUUCAAACAGCUCAGAGCAGACAAAAGAAUUAUGCGGAUAAGAGGAGGCGUAAUCUAGAAUUUUCAGUGGGUGACAACGUGUUCCUAAAAGUCUCCCCAACUAAAGGAAUAUUCAGAUUUGGGAAGAAAGGAAAGUUGAGCCCUAGGUUUAUAGGGCCCUUUGAGAUCUUGGAAAGAGUAGGGGUAGUGGCAUAUCGGCUUGCCUUGCCACCUAAUCUAUCCUCCAUCCAUCCGGUAUUUCAUGUUUCCAUGCUAAGGAAGUAUAUGCCAGAUCCAUCACAUGUGUUAGAGGUUCAUCCUAUUGAAUUGAGAGAUGAUAUGGUUUAUGAGGUGCAACCGGAAGCUAUAAUUGACCGACAAGUGAGGAAGCUUAGGUCGAAGGAUAUAGCUUCAGUGAAAGUGAAAUGGAAAGGUCAUUCACGUGAGGAAGCGACCUGGGAGCUCGAGGAUAAGAUGCGUGAGGAGUAUCCUCAUCUUUUCAAUAAUCUCGGUAAGUAUUCAAUCUUUUCUAUUAAGUUUCGAGGACGAAACUUUUAUAAGGUGGGGAGAUUGUAAUAUUUUGGUUGGAAAAUACAAUAAAGCCCUUGGAGGCUUAAAGAGUGAGUAAAUUUGAAUAAGGGGUAUUAUGGUAAUUGGAUAAAUAGUUGAUAAAUAUAAAUAGAAAAAGAAAGAGGGAUCUGAAAAUUUGAAGAACAAACGUAAGAGAGAAGGGAGGAAGAAGAAGAAGAAGAGAAAAAAGGGAAAAUAAGGGGAAAAGGAAGAGAAGUAGAGGAAAUAAGUUUAAAAGGUAAGAUUUAUGGUUUGAAGUGUAUUAAUAUGUUUAAUUUCGUUUUGAUUAAUUUUAGAGUUUUGAAGUUUGUAUUUUGAGUUAAUUGAUGAAUUAAUUUGAAGGUUAGGAGUUGAUUAUUAUGGGUAUUUGAUUAAUUAGUUGAUUUUGAGAGAUUGAAUUGAAGGAUAAUGAUUUUGAGUUAUGAUUUUGUUUAAAUGGUGAAAUUGUGUUAGAAAUCAGGGGAUAACAGUAGGUGAUCUGUUGAAAUUCUGGGUUUGAGGUUGAAGAUGACGAAAAUUCAGUUUGGUCCCUCAAUUUGUGGAAAUUGCAGUUUAGUCCCCGAACUUUGGAAAUUUUACAGAUUGGUCCCUGGGGCAUAAAUUGAGAUUCUGAACAGAACUGAGGAUGAUUUAAGGACAAAAUUCCAGUAUAAUUAAUAUUUUCAGUUUGGUCCUCCAAUUUGACAAAUUACGAUUUGACCCCUAAUAUUUUGAUAAAAUCACAUUUUGGACCUUGGGGCAUAAUUCAAGAUUCUGGACAAAGAUAAGGACGAAUUAUGGAUAAUUUCAGUAUGGAUAUAUAUAUUUACAAUUCGGUCCUCAAAUUUGGUAAAAUUACGUUUUGGUCCCUGUUUUGGAAAAUUGUCGUUUUAGUCCCUAAACUCGAGAGAUUAAGCCCAGUUUAUUUUAUGCAUUUGUAUCUUUUGUUUGAUUUGUUUUUGAGUAUAUUUCAUAUAUUUAUUGUAGGUUCUCCUAACGAUCCUUAAUCGGAUUUUCGGGUCUUUUGCCUGACAUUCCUUUAGUUCAGUAUUUUCCGGGUGAGUGGAAUAAUCUUUAAUAUGCAUAUAAUAUAAAUAAAUAUGUAUGUUGAUUAUACAAUGAGUACGACUAGUAAGUUUCUUGAAUAUUUAUAUAUGUUGCUUUAUUUUCCGAGUACUCAUUUAUUCUUGAAUUUGCAUUCGCAAUCUGUCAAAGUAAAUUCUAUUUGAUAUGAUAUACGUUCUUUGAUGAUUAUGUGAAUAUCUAUUAUGCCUUGAUAUGGGACUUGUCAGUAACUCCAUGCUAACGGAGAAUAGUUAGCCUGUGUGCACAUAGUAUUCUGUUACCUAGCUGGUGAGAGAGGCAUCAGCCUGUGGUGAUUGAUCAUCCCACAGUGGUCACCGACGGGUGUCAUCUGGUCACCGACGGGUGUCAUCUGGUCACCUUCGGGUGUCAUCUGUUCUCUGACAUGUAAUCCACUA